CGUGAAGGAUGAAAUCUUUCGGGAUGUUAAACUCUUUUUUCAAGCCAUGAAACAAAUGACAGUAGCUGAGGAAUAAGCCCCGGCUAACUACGUGC
rnacentral:rRNA from 1 species